GUGCUUGGUAACGUAGAGAAUGGGAGUGCUUUCUACGAUGGAGCUGCAUGGUUGGCCUGGAGGAGCAGGUGCCCGCUGAUUCCGCCGGAUCAACUGGGCACGCCAAUCCACAAUCGCCCGGAUAGACGAACAGAUUCUGUGUCGGCCGUGCACCACCUGAUAGAACUCAUUGCGAAGAAGGUCAGAGUGCACUGGAGAAGUCGAUCCGGUGUUAGUGUGUUACUCAGUGAAAUUGGGAGACAAGGUCAGUGACCCCUGCCUGGGUACAACCUUUGACCCCCUAAGUGAGGCAUACGAUUUCUAUAAUCUGUAUUCCUGGGAACAUAGUUUUGGGAUUCAGAUAUGGAAAGAUUGGUUAAAUUCAGAGAAUACGAAGUGCAUGCAAGAAAUCGUCCGCUGGUGCUCGGCAACAGCUACAGCUCAAUUUCACCUUACUUGAUCAGGGAGGAACGCGAGCACUUGAUCAGAUAACAUUCAGUCAACAGCUACAGCUCGAUUUCACCACUUGACCAGGAAGGGCGUCCAGCACGGUCCGGAUCGUCGGUCCUCCGCUUGGACCGAGUACGGGAUAACGGCUAGAUGGGCAUUAAAUGUGGUCGAUGUGUGGGUCAGGUUACUGUUUAAUAAUAGACAUACGUGCUGGAAUACUGCACACUAUACUCUGUGAGGCCCAUAUCCCAAGAAAACUGAAUGGUCCAGAUAAAGGGAUCAUCUGGACCCGAGUUUCGUUUUGAA